AUACUUACCUGGCAGGGGAGAUACCAUGAUCAAGAAGGUGGUUCACCCAGGGUCGAGCCAUUGCACAUGGGUUGAGCUGACCUCUGCGAAUUCCCCAAACGUGGGAAUCUCGACUGCGUAAUUUGUGGUAGUGGGGGACUGUGUUCGCGCUCUCCCCUU